rnacentral:rRNA from 1 species
GAGCGGACAGAUGGGAGCUUGCUCCCUGAUGUUAGCGGCGGACGGGUGAGUAACACGUGGGUAACCUGCCUGUAAGACUGGGAUAACUCCGGGAAACCGGGGCUAAUACCGGAUGGUUGUUUGAACCGCAUGGUUCAGACAUAAAAGGUGGCUUCGGCUACCACUUACAGAUGGACCCGCGGCGCAUUAGCUAGUUGGUGAGGUAACGGCUCACCAAGGCAACGAUGCGUAGCCGACCUGAGAGGGUGAUCGGCCACACUGGGACUGAGACACGGCCCAGACUCCUACGGGAGGCAGCAGUAGGGAAUCUUCCGCAAUGGACGAAAGUCUGACGGAGCAACGCCGCGUGAGUGAUGAAGGUUUUCGGAUCGUAAAGCUCUGUUGUUAGGGAAGAACAAGUGCCGUUCAAAUAGGGCGGCACCUUGACGGUACCUAACCAGAAAGCCACGGCUAACUACGUGCCAGCAGCCGCGGUAAUACGUAGGUGGCAAGCGUUGUCCGGAAUUAUUGGGCGUAAAGGGCUCGCAGGCGGUUUCUUAAGUCUGAUGUGAAAGCCCCCGGCUCAACCGGGGAGGGUCAUUGGAAACUGGGGAACUUGAGUGCAGAAGAGGAGAGUGGAAUUCCACGUGUAGCGGUGAAAUGCGUAGAGAUGUGGAGGAACACCAGUGGCGAAGGCGACUCUCUGGUCUGUAACUGACGCUGAGGAGCGAAAGCGUGGGGAGCGAACAGGAUUAGAUACCCUGGUAGUCCACGCCGUAAACGAUGAGUGCUAAGUGUUAGGGGGGUUUCCGCCCCUUAGUGCUGCAGCUAACGCAUUAAGCACUCCGCCUGGGGAGUACGG